UGGUUCUGGCAUCGAUGAAGAACGCAGCGAAAUGCGAUAAGUAAUGCGAAUUGCAGAAUUUCCGUGAGUCAUCGAAUCUUUGAACGCACAUUGCGCCCAUUGGUAUUCCGAUGGGCAUGCCUGUUCGAGCGUCAUUAUCCUCUCUCAAACCUCCUGGUUUGGCGUUGGAUCGAGUUGUGGGCAACCGCAACUGGUCUCAAAGACAAUGACGGCGUCCGUGGGACCCUCUUCGCAACGAGUCUUUUACGAGGCACGCGGGGAGUUGCAAGGUCCCGUCGGGUCGGUCUAACCCCUUUUAUUUCUAAGGUUGACCUCGGAUCAGGUAGGAAUACCCGCUGA
rnacentral:misc_RNA from 1 species